UACGUAGGGUGCGAGCGUUGUCCGGAAUUAUUGGGCGUAAAGGGCUCGUAGGCGGUUUGUCGCGUCGGGAGUGAAAACCAGGUGCUUAACACCUGGCUUGCUUUCGAUACGGGCAGACUAGAGGUAUUCAGGGGAGAACGGAAUUCCUGGUGUAGCGGUGAAAUGCGCAGAUAUCAGGAGGAACACCGGUGGCGAAGGCGGUUCUCUGGGAAUGACCUGACGCUGAGGAGCGAAAGUGUGGGGAGCGAACAGGA
rnacentral:rRNA from 1 species